GACGAACGCUGGCGGCGUGCUUAACACAUGCAAGUCGAACGGAGUGGCGAACGGGUGAGUAAUACGUGAGUAACCUGCCUUCUUCUUUGGGAUAAGCCUGGGAAACUGGGUCUAAUACUGGAUAGUGGGGGGUGGGCUCACGGCCUAUCAGCUUGUUGGUGGGGUGAUGGCCUACCACGGAGGGGCCGGGUAGCCGGCCUGAGAGGGUGAGCGGGCAGAUAUGGACUAGAAUACGGCCCGGGGUCCUACGGGAGGAAGCAGGGGGGGGUAUGGCACAAUGAACGGAAGUCUGAUGCAGCGACGCGGCGUGGGGGAGGAAGGCUUUCGCGUUGUAAACUCCUGUUGAUGCUGAACGGGUAGGUGUUGAAUAAGCGCCGGCUAACUACGUGCCAGCAGCCGCGGUAAUUC
rnacentral:rRNA from 1 species